GCCAGCCCCGCCCCAGCCUAACGCGCGGGAGCCGGAGCUUUUCGCCUCAGCUUUCGAGCUUUCGAGCCCUUUACUUUCCGGAUGUCUGGUCUUCCCUCUUUGAUGGUAUGAGGCUCCUCCUUCUGUAAUGACCAAGGGGAAAACCUUGAAGGGGCUUCACAGUUUGAUCUCUUUCUCACAAGGAUGAAGGAAAUAUCCUUAAUUGAACUGGAAUGUAAUCUUCAUAAGGGCAAGAAUUUUCACCUGUGUUGUUCACCACUAUAUCCCCAACAUCCAGGACAGCGCUGCUGAGAGAUGGCAAAAAGUACUGAUACGUCUUAAUCAGGAUGCCAAAAUUCCAUCUUCUUGCUGUGCCUGGGUAAUCUGGAAAAAAAAUCCUAAAAACAAAAUCCAAUCGAAAACACUGGAUUUUGAAACGCAGCUCUCCCAUUCAUUAUCUCUGUGACGGCGACAGACAAGCCCAACUCUGCGUCUCUGUUUUCUCAUCCGUAAAACGAAGUUUAUAAUGUUUGUCUCCUGCAAGUGGAGUAAGCGACCACAUCUUGGGUGUUCCUGGGUGCAGGACGGACUUAGUCCACGGAUGUUUCAGCUCUCCCAUGCUUCUUUCUUGUCUUCAUUUGGGUAGCGUUUUCCUCUGUUCUGUCUCGUUAUUGAGUUUUCCAUUGUUGGCAAAGAUACUUUCUCUCAAGCUGUUUUGAAUUCUAGAACAAUCCUUGUUAUUUGGUCUUGGUUUCCGUAGUUUUUAGAAAAGUCAGCCUUUUUUUUUUUUUUUUUGACUUUCUGCCUUCUGAAUUUCUGUUCUGGCAUCCUUACAGUUUUGCUAACUCCAAAAUGUGUUUCUGGGAUAAAGUUUAUGUGUAAACAGCAGGCAGUUGAGAUGACCGUGUCUCUGUUUUGCUGGAGGAGGGAAUGGGCAGAGGAGGGUGAACUUUGAGUCUCUUUUCAAAUGUUUGAGUCAAACAUUUCUCUGUCUGGUUUUGAAUGCUCUUACAAAUUAUAUGAGCCUGGGAUUGGCCCAGUUUUACCCUUUUGGAGAAUUCUUCCCUUUGUCCUGCUCUGGACGGGAACAGCUGGGAAAGCAAAGCCAGUCCACAGCCCCUGAGCCGGUGAUGGGAGGGCAUUAAACUCUAGCCCUUAAGCAAGGUGAGGAGACUCCAGGUUUGAAUUACCUGGAGGCUGGGAAGCCUGUUCAUCCAUACAGAUGCUCUGUAAGUUCUACCCUUGGCCUAAACCCAGCACUCAGAUAGCUGUACAUUUGCUCCAGAGCUGCUUUGGACGUGGCAUGCAUUUCCUAGGGCUGCUGCAACAAACUCCCACUGCAGAGAUGUGUGUGAUCACAGUUCUGGAGGCGAGACAUCUGAGUCUGUGUCAGCAGAGCCACGUCUGGGCUUCUGGUGGUGCUGGCUGCCCCUGGCGUCCCUCAGCUGGCAGCUACACCUCCCCAUCUCUGCCUCCGUCAUCACUUGUGGCAUCCUCUCUGUGUCUGUCUUCACAUGGGGUUCUCCCCUCUGCGUUCGUCUCGGUGUCUCUUCCCUUCUUAUAAGGACACCACUCAUAUUGGAUUAAUGGCCCAUCCUAUGCUGGACGACCCCCAUCCUAACUUCCACCUUAAUGACACUGCAGAAACCUUAUUUCCAAAUAAGGUCACAUCCGCACACACCAGGGGCUCGGAUUUCUACAUGUCUUUUGGGGGGACACAGGUAAUCCCACAACAGACACAUGUAGAACUGAGGUGACCGGCCCUGAGGGUAAGCAGCACAGAAGGCCCUGGGCCUGGCUACUCUGUGUCAAGGGGGAAAGCGGGUUGGCAGUACGAGGCCGGCAUAGGAGGACCACCCCUGCUGCUCGGUGGCUGAGUGGUUUGGCCACUGAGGUUCUGUGUCUGUGAAGGGGAGUGCUGGGGUCUCUCCCAUCUGGGAGUUUGUGGAGUGGGUCGGAUCAUGUUGCUUUGUAUGAUUUUCAAGUCUUCGUAGUUUGGCUCCAGACCACCUUUACCAUGUCAUCUUUGAUUUUAUUCCUCUGCCUAUGGUGCAAGCACACGGGCUACUUGCCUUUCUCCAAAUACACCACGUGGCUGACCUUUCCACCCUCGGCUAUCACGAUUUCUUGGCACCACGCUUCCCUCCCCCGACAUUUUCUCACCUCCCCACCCUGGCCCCGGUCUGAGGCCAGUGCUUCCUCUGCACAGUUCCACAGUGGACCUAAAACACGCAUAUUUUACAGUCAGCCUGGUAUCACAGCCCAUACCUGUUUCCCCUGUGGGACUGUCAGAUCCUUGAAGGACGGAAUGGUGUCCUAUUUUUGUUCCAUCCCCCCGUAGUUGCUUUAGAAAACCUGCUGCGUUAACAAUUGAUCUAACAAAAUCAAGUGUGUAUAAAUGCAUCACAAAACAGAAGACAGAAUGAGAUGAUGAUUACUCGACAGUAUAAUCUGGGGGGGCACCAAAAGACCACCUGACUAAAAUGAUCUGUUACUAGUCUGCCCCAGUGCCCCGACAUUCUGCUAUGGGCACACCUCUUACAACCUUCUGGGGACUUAGCCUUUGACAUGGAUUGUCCACUGCAUCCUGGGAAGGACAGCAUUGUAUUACUCAUUGCCUCCCGGGGAGAGCAGGCCUCUGGGAGAAGAGGGCAAAGAGAGUCAAGUUGGAAAGGAGGAAUACAUCAGAAAGCAUCCCACUCAGAGCGGGUCUCAGGCCCCUGUGUGGCGCUGUGCUGUGCAGGCCUCGGCUCUGGCUGGGAGAGCCUCGCCAGUGGGCGGCGACCUCGGGUAUCACCCCCGUGUGUGCUCUGUCACGACACCGUGGCACACUCCACGAAGACAAAAGAGUUGAACUCCAGCACCCACCCUCGUCUGGCAUCUCCAUCCCCUUCCUGGGGAUCCCCAUGGAGCUGCCUUGUUGCUGUAACAGUUUUGGUGCCGAUGGUGUGAGCGCCAGUCAAGAGCUUUGAUGUGUGCUGAACAUUUAGCGUCCGGCCAGAGCUCAGCUGAGAAGGCUUCACCGGGCUGCAACAGCCCAGGCUGAUCUGUGCGUCCACUUCCCUCCAGCCUCCCAUGCUGGCCUUCAUCCUGGGCAGGCUGCCCAGGCGGCCAGAAACAGAACCCAAGAACAGGGUUUCUUUCACCCCUUAGGACAGAGCAGUGGUUUAUGUUUGCUUACUGGUUGGAGCCCAGGAAAGAAUCACCUUUACCUGUAAAUAAAAUGUGCUCCCGUGAGUUCCUGGCGGCCUAGGGAUAUUGUGACGGCCCUCCUCCAUUCUUCUCCUUCUUAACCCUGAUGUGUUAUUUCCAUGUCUGCUUUCUGAUCAGCACUCAGCCCCCCUUAAUGUCCAGCCCCCUCCCUCUUCCUCCGUCACCAGCUUCCCUAAUCAAAGACUUGUUACAGUGCCUGUAGCUUGUCUAGGUUGUGUGAAAAUUAGAGUUUUGGGUGAAAGCACUUAGAGUCAUUUUCUUUUUAAAUUGUUGCAUGCUUUUUUUUUCCCCUAGCUAAAAAUAUUCUAUUUCUUCAAAAAAUAUGUGCCAACUAAAAAUGAGUAUACUCUCUGAUUCCAGUGCCUUGCUUACUCAGAAAUCAGCAGUGUAAAAAUGCUAUUGCUAUUGUAGGCAUGAAUUUUCUCCCCUUUCUUUUGGAUUUCUUUUACACAUGGUGCAUGGCCUCUGCUAUAUUACUGCAAAGUUAAUUAAGUUUUAGGCUAAAAGCCUGACUCACAAGCCUGCUUGUUAGGUGUCACUAAAAUCUUUUUUUUUUCUUUUUUUGGUUAUUGUUGUUGUUGCUUUAUGCCUCUAUAGCAAUUUAAACGGCAUUAAAAACAACAACCAAAUUUAAUAUCACCAUAAAUAAUACCCAGAUUUAAAAAUUCCAUUUUGACUUAAAGAACUCGAAAGCUAUAUGUGAAUUUUACGUUUCCUAGAGUGUCUUCAUCUCUCUCUGACAUGAUUAUUGUGGCUAUCUAAUCAGGCAAAAGAAACAUAAAUCUGACACUGGAGAAAAUAGGACAACAAAGUUAAUUGCUGCAUUUAGAGUGUGGCAGGAUAUUGCAAGUCCAGUCCUGGGGGGACCGCCGUAAGCGCCCACGGCAGCGGUGUGCGGGUGGCAGACCAUGCCUCUUCGACCUGGCCUCCUGCCGCAUUGUGCGAUGUUGCUUUGGAACCAGGAUCUCGUGUAAUUCUUGCCUCUGUCUCUGCCCUCUCUCUCCACCAAUGAACAUGCUGUUGCAGCUGCUGGGUAUUCUACCCAGAACCUGCUUUCUCUUGCUGUGCGACCCAGCCAGGAAGACGAAAGCCUUGGUCUCCUUAGCCCUCCUGCUGUAAGGGUUCCCCCUGUUCUCCACGUCCUGACAAGUGACUGCCCUUCCAUGAGACCUGGAGGUGGAUAUGGCUGGGAGAUUAAGUCUCUGGAUACCGUGCGGGCUAUGAUUAUCCUGAGAUACCUGGGUUCCUCCAGUCUCAUCACGUGAGUCCUUAAAAUCAGAGAGACUUUCCCAGCAGGGUUAGAGAGAAGAGAAAGAGGCAGGAGGAGAGACUUGAUACAUGAGAGGGACUCUGCCCACCGCUGCUGGCCCUGGAGAUGGAGGAAGAGGCCACCAGCCAGGAAAUGCAGGCGCUUCCAGCAGGUGGAAAAGGCAAGAGGGCAGAGUCUUCUCCAGUGUCCAGCAAGGAACCCAGUCCUGCCAACACCUCAGUUUUAACCCAGUGACACUCACAUCGGACUUCUGUCUCCAGAAUGUAAGACAAUAUAGUGGGUUGUUUAAGCCACUACACAUGUGGUAAUUCUUCAGGGCGUCUGAGCUGGAGCUCUAGCAUUUGGUGUUUGGAGUCACUGGUGCCGGGUGUCCAUCAUGGUGGCUGAGGGUUUAUGUUGGGACCAUUUGUGGGGGGCUGGGCUAUUCUAGUCUACUAGAUGGGACAUAACUUGUAGGGCCCAGUGCAAAAUAGAAAUGUGGGGCCCUUGUUCAAGAUGUUGGAAAAUAGUGCUGUUUAAGGUAUUAAAAUAUAAAGCUUUUUUCCUUUUUGCUGUCAUUUCUCUCCCAACUUACUGUGAAUUUUUAAUUUGCUAUUUAAUAUCCUUUUAAGUAAAAAUAAAUUAAAAUGUUAAAUUAUUAACAUGAACUUUACCAUUUCCUUAAUA